AAACAAAACCAAAAAAACAAAAAACCAUACAAAAAAAUGUUUUUAAUAAAAAUAUAUAGACCAAAAAAAAAAGAUAACAAAUUCCAUUGCUUUCGGCUGAUCAGAAAAUGGGGGUUUUCCAGAAAUUUCGCUGGCUAAAGGAAUCCACUUUGUGUUUAUAUAGGGCGUGGGCAUGAAAAAGAAAGCAAAUAUAUUUGCAUACGUUUAAGUAGAAAAAGCUUUUCAAAAAGCGCGCUGCAAGUUCUUCGGCGCUGACCCAUGAUUUUUUGAAAACAUCUAGAACAGUCUCGAAGGCAGCCAAGCAUUCGGCAAGCCUGCGCUAUGGAAUACAACAAUAUUUACAUAGUUAGGCACCCAAAUAGCUACUGGCUCCUUAUUUACAUAAGAGAACAAAUGCAAUAAUUGAUUUUUUGGAUCGUUUCCUUUAAAGUUCAAAGCUGGCGACAGUGUGGCAGUGCCUGCCAAAGAAAACACCACGAUAAAUCUACAUACGGCGUUAUGCAGCACUGCACUGGUCUGGCUGCUCUGCGCUGUUAUUGCUGUUGACAUGGCCUAUCGCGGUAUCGUGCUGUGAUAGUCGAUAGUCGUGCGUGUAUAUCGCUGGCUGUCAGCACUAGCAAAAGCAUUUUUGCUGGAGUCUAACCAUUUUAUUUUAGUUAAUAAAAACACAUAUUUCCUCUUUUUUUCGUUGUACGCAAAAAACAGACAUCAAACGCAAUAAAAAUCUGAAUAAAUAAAACAUGCGAGCAAGGCCAAGCGAGAGAGGAGAAAUAUAUAGAAACAAAAACCAUAAAAAAAAAAAAAAAAAGAAAAGUAAUUAAAAAAAAAAAAAAAACCAACAAACAAAACUGCAAAUAAAUGUUUGCAUUGUAAGCCGUAAUAAUUAUAAACGAUAACUUAUAUUUAAUUUUUUGAAUUACAUCAAUAAAUAUGUUGAAAUUAAAAUUAAA